rnacentral:rRNA from 1 species
CCUACGGGUGGCAGCAGUGGGGAAUAUUGCACAAUGGGGGAAACCCUGAUGCAGCGACGCCGCGUGAGUGAAGAAGUACUUCGGUACGUAAAGCUCUAUCAGCAGGGAAGAAAAUCUGACCUUCUGACUAGCAGACGGUAGCUAAGUAAGUAACCGCGGCUGACUAAGUGCCAACAGCCGCAGUGAUACGGAGGGGGCCAGCGUUAUCCGGAUUUGCUGGGUGUAAAGGGAGCGUAGACGGUGAGCCAAGUCUUGAGUGAAAUGCCGGAGCUUAACUGCGGAACUGUAUGUGAAACUGGCGAACUGGAGUGCUGGAGGGGUAAGCGGAAUUCCUAGUGUAGCGGUGAAAUGCGUAGAUAUUAGGAGGAACACCGGUGGCGAAGGCGGCUUACUGGACGGUAACUGACGUUGAGGCUCGAAAGCGUGGGGAGCAAACAGGAUUAGAUACCCGGGUAGUC